GGAAGGGCACCACCANGAGUGGAGCCUGCGGCAAUUUGACUCAACACGGGAAAACUUACCAGGUCCGAACAUAAGUGUGNNAGACAGAUUGAUAGCUUCAUUUCUGANUC
rnacentral:rRNA from 1 species